GGUCCUCUGGAACGCGGUCGCCAAAGUCCAAGAUGUGCAUUCGAGCUUGGAUGAGUGCUUGGCAAAUUGGUUGGGGCUGGACCAAUCGAAGUAUCAGUGGGCUUUGAACAAUUACUACGAGAACAAAGGAGUGGUGAAGGAAAGUGGCAAAGCAAAAGGACUUGUUAACAAACACCAAGUUGUGUGAUUUGUUGUGUUACUUCACAUUAUGGCAGUUCUUAUGGCCUUCAUAUCUAAUACCCUAUGAUGAAAAUUCCAUCUGAAUAAUUUUAUGCAAAAGCAUGCGGAGAGAGUACUAUUCCAUUGAAAAGCUGGGUCUCAUGUUUUUGCUUCAGAUGCCAUUCUGUCUUUGUUAAUUAUGGUGUGGCUUCUAAAUCAUGGAGUCUAUUUCUAUUUAAAAUGUUAUCAUCUGUAGAGCAAUUUGUUCA